UACGUAGGGGACGAGCGUUGUCCGGAAUUACUGGGCGUAAAGGGCGCGCAGGCGGUAUAUCAAGUCAGCUGUCAAAGACUGGGGCUCAACCCUGGUAUGCGGUUGAAACUGAUAUGCUGGAGUGCUGUAGAGGCAAGUGGAAUUCCCAGUGUAGCGGUGAAAUGCGUAGAUAUUGGGAAGAACACCGGUGGCGAAGGCGACUUGCUGGGCAGCAACUGACGCUGAGGCGCGAAAGCCAGGGGAGCAAACAGGAUUA
rnacentral:rRNA from 1 species